GACGAACGCUGGUGGCGUGCCUAAUACAUGCAAGUCGAGCGGAAAUUUUAUUGGUGCUUGCACCUUUAAAAUUUUAGCGGCGGACGGGUGAGUAACACGUGGGUAACCUACCUUAUAGAUUGGGAUAACUCCGGGAAACCGGGGCUAAUACCGAAUAAUACUUUUUAACACAUGUUUGAAAGUUGAAAGACGGUCUUGCUGUCACUAUAAGAUGGACCCGCGGCGCAUUAGCUAGUUGGUGAGGUAACGGCUCACCAAGGCAACGAUGCGUAGCCGACCUGAGAGGGUGAUCGGCCACACUGGGACUGAGACACGGCCCAGACUCCUACGGGAGGCAGCAGUAGGGAAUCUUCCACAAUGGACGAAAGUCUGAUGGAGCAACGCCGCGUGAGUGAAGAAGGAUUUCGGUUCGUAAAACUCUGUUGCAAGGGAAGAACAAGUAGCGUAGUAACUGGCGCUA
rnacentral:rRNA from 1 species